rnacentral:rRNA from 1 species
AUGAAUAAAAUUGAAGCUAACAUGGAUGUGGGGAACAAGCAAGGGCAAAAAGGAUGGUUUCAGAACAACAGGUUUGGCCAGAGAGAGAGCUUGGAUCAAAACAAAGCUGGUGGGAAUUUCAGAGUGCUAUGCAACAAGUGCAAGGACACCAGACACCUGACUAGAGACUGCAAGUUGCCCAACUGUAUCAUUUGUGGCAAGAAUUCUCACAUCACUGAGGAAUGUGCUUGGCUGAAGCAAAUCAAGCCAACUCCCAAAUUCAUUGGAUAUGCAGCCAGAGGGUUGGGAGUGCUGCUAGUACAAAAUUCUAAAGAGAUGGUCAGUAGUGAAAAAAUUAAUCCUAUGGCCAUUGUGAACAUCUCUUCUGGGGAGAUUAAUGAGACUCAAUUCUUGGAUGGAUUUAACUAUAUGUUUAGCUGGAAUUGGCAAUGGAGAUGCAAAAAAACAUGGAGACAAAGCUUACUUGAUGAGAUUUCCUAG